ACCACAAUAAGAACCUCUUCUUCUAAAAUAGAAAAGCAGAACAAGCACAUACAGUCAUGUUUUUACCCAGUAGUAAAAGUGAUCACAUGCACCACACCCAAAGAAGAGCAGGAACCUGGGCAGAGACCUCUAAAAGUACAGCCUGCAGAUCAUAACACCCAAGGAUCAGAAGACGGACGGGACAGAACAAAAGGGUACGAUUCCUCGGAGGAAAACAAGCCACAUACCUUUGAGAAACUCACUUGUAAAAAGACUAGAAUUCA